ensembl:lncRNA
GCCGCCCACAGGGCCGUCUCCGCCGCGGAGCUCCCGCCCCUGAACGCUGCGCAGCCCCGCUCGCAGCGCGGAGUCCCGCACGUUAGCGCGUCUGGCCCGGUGCUACCUUGAGGCGCUCUACUUGGGGGAGACGCCGAAGACGGGAGCGCCUCGAGCUCCUCGCGCGGGCUCGCUUACAGAAGCCAGGUGGCGCGUCUUGGUCACCGCGCGGGCCGUCUCACAGCGGUCGCCCCUCGGCCGCGUCCUGCGGGCUGGCCGGGACGCGCUCCCGGGACGCGGCGCCGGGCGCCGCUGGGGGCGCCCCAGGCUCGCUGGGCGGCGCAGAGCGCCUAGGGGCUGAGCGGAUCCAGGGCUAGCGCUGGGACUUCUAGGGGAGGACUGUAAUGAGACGGAGCUGAAGUGCUUUCCUCAGUCAGAUGAGAACUUCUGACAGCGCGGCAGACGCACAGCAAAGUAAACAAGCCGCGCAGCAAGAAUGAAGUGAGAGCCGCCCCGUCGUGUCCGUGGGAUUCUCCAGGCCGGAACACUGGAGUGGAUAUUUCCCUCUCCAGUACUGAAAGCUACCCUUCAAUGAAAUAUGCGUUUCUUCGUCUAUAUGAGGCAGGAAGCAGAUGGGCCCCCCAGGGUAAAGCGACCAAAGGGAAGAGAUUGGACCCUGCACAGACCACAUAUUUCUCGUCCCAAAGUCAGGAGACCCUCCCUGGCUGCAUAUGCACAAAAGAGGCUCCUUUGCUGUUCUACCCAGAUGCCUUUUCGGUGGAAUUCAUCUUGGCUAAGAUGCGUGCACACGCGGGAAGAUCCUGAGAUAUACAGAAUAUGGACUGUGAGCCCAGGCAAGUCAAAAUGAGCAGCCAGAGGAAAUCUGGAAGAAAUGCCCCACAUAAGUGAUUUAAACUGCCACCAGGGCGCAACUCGGGGCCUCUGUCUCUGAGUCUGCCCAUGUGUCUAUCCAUACGUACUGUACUUUUCCUCCUAAUAAAUACUGUACUUGCUUCACC